rnacentral:rRNA from 1 species
CAGCACCUCAAGUGGUCAGGAUGAUUAUUGGGCCUAAAGCAUCCGUAGACGGCGCUGUAAGUUUUCGGUUAAAUCUGUACGCUCAACGUACAGGCUGCCGGGAAUACUGCAGCGCUAGGGAGUGGGAGAGGUAGACGGUACUCGGUAGGAAGGGGUAAAAUCCUUUGAUCUAUUGAUGACCACCUGUGGCGAAGGCGGUCUACCAGAACACGUCCGACGGUGAGGGAUGAAAGCUGGGGGAGCAAACCGGAUUAGAUACCCGAGUAGUCC